UGCAGGCGGGUAUUAUUCCCGCUCUUACCAAGUA
rnacentral:tRNA from 1 species